rnacentral:lncRNA from 1 species
UGCCUCAGAAGCAAGCAUGGGUUCAAGAGGGACCCAAUCUAAAGUUGCAUUAACAAAUUGCACGCUUCGAAGUGAUAAUUUUAUUUAUAUACAAGUAGAAGUUGGGUUGGGUUUAAUCACCCGGCCAUGCUAAACUGGCGGCUAGAGCAUUUCAUACUACUCCCUUCGUUUUAAUUUACGUGAACCUAUUUGAUUAGGCAGGAAAUUUAAUAAAAAAGAGAAAACUUUUGAAAUCACAAAAUGAAGUACAUAUAUUUUAUGUGGCUAUAAAUCAUUCCAUAAUAGUAAAUUAUUUCCAAGUAGGGAAAGAGGACUUUCUUUUUGCAUGCGUUCCGACCACACAUCUAACCAGCCAUUCCUGAGAAAAUAGGAAAAGAUUAUACAUCUAUUUCUUUAAGAUUCCGCGUACGUCUCCUUCAGGGUAAGGAUAAGAUCUGUGUAUACGUUAUUCUUUCUGGACCUCACUAAUGAGAUUUUACUGGAUCGUUGUUGUUAUUGUUCCGUCGAACGUCCUUAAAGUUGAGUAGAAUUGAUGGCAAAAAG